rnacentral:lncRNA from 1 species
CCUAGACUGUGGGGACUGAGGCUGAGCCCACAGGUUUUUUUGAGUCUUGCUUUCUCACCUCUCAAAGGAGCGUAAUUAAUUACCUUGAGACUGAAGCUCCGUGGCAGCGUGGUAGCAUCACAAUUGGGCAUGGUAGUACACGUCUGUAACUCUGGAGGCGGGGAAGAGUGGGAAGUUCAAGGUCACCCUCGGUACUCAUCGAAUCGGAAGCUACUAUCUCAACAACACUCAAAGCGGAUAACUGCAAGACAUGGUGGCACAUGCCUCCAAUCCCAGGACAGAUCUCUUUGAGUUUGAGGCCAGCCUGGUCUACAGAGCAAGAUCCAAGGCUAGCCUAGGCUAGGCAUAGUGAGACUCUAUCUUAAAAAAAAAGGGUGGGGGGAGAAUAAUUGUUUCGCUUGCCUCCCUGGAUUCCUAAGGAAACCCUAGAAAGAGAAAGGGGAAGGUAUGGCCCCCAGGCCUCCAUCAGGUAGGGAAGCCUAAGAAAUUCCCUAGACUUGCCCUGCUCUCUGAGUUAAGGGUAGGUUGCACCUCAAUAAUCCUACCAUCUCGUUCUUCCCCAGGGUUUAAUGGGAGCCAAGGGAGAGCCUGGCCCCAUGGGAACCCCUGGAAUCAAGGGCCAGCCUGGGCUCCCAGGGCCCCCUGGCCUGCCGGGCCCUGGUUUUGCUGGACCUCCGGGACCACCUGGACCUGUUGGCCUCCCUGGUGAGAUUGGAACCCCAGGCCCCAAGGUGAGCCCCAGUCACUCUCUAACCCUCUGCCUCUUGCCCUGCAUACCUAAGCUGGCCAUCUGGGUCAGGCUUUCCAGGAGUUUCUGGCCCACCAGGCUUGGGGCAGAACCUCUCCUG